GUAAUAAGGUGGCCUCUACAUGUAAGCUAUCGCUGAAGGAUGAGUUCGCGUACCAUUAGCUAGUUGGUAGGGUAAUGGCCUACCAAGGCGACGAUGGUUAGCUGGUCUGAGAGGAUGAUCAGCCACACUGGAACUGAGACACGGUCCAGACUCCUACGGGAGGCAGCAGUGAGGAAUUUUGCGCAAUGGGGGAAACCCUGACGCAACGACGCAACGGCAAUCAGAAAGACCAACCCGUCAUAAAGCUUGUCAGGUGCCAAGAAAUGUAGCGCCAUCCGUCAUGCUUAACGGUACACCCAGGAAGCACCGGCAUCCGUCAGCAGCCGGGCAUACCGGGUCAAGCAUGUUCGAAUAUUGGCGUAAAGAGCGGGUAGGCGCUGGUAAGUCAGAUGUGAAAGCCCUGGGCCAACCCAGACGUGCAUUUGAUACUGUCAGCUAGAGGGGGGGAGAGGAAGUGGAAUUCUGGUGUAGAGGUGAAAUUCGUAGAUAUCAGGAGGAACACCGGUGGCGAAGGCGGCUUUCUGGCCUUAACUGACGCUGAGACGCGAAAGCGUGGGGAGCAAACAGGAUUAGAUACCUGGUAGUCCACGCCGUAAACGAUGUUCACUAGGUGUUGGGGGUAUUGACCCCUCAGUGCCGUAGCUAACGCAUUAAGUGAACCGCCUGGGGAGUACGGUCGCAAGACUAAAACUCAAAGAAAUUGACGGGGGCCCGCACAAGCGGUGGAGCAUGUGGUUUAAUUCGAUGCAACGCGAAGAACCUUACCUGGGCCUGACAUCCCGAGAAUCUCCUGCAAACAGGAGAGUGCCUCUUUGAGGAGCUCGGUGACAGGUGCUGCAUGGCUGUCGUCAGCUCGUGUCGUGAGAUGUUGGGUUAAGUCCCGCAACGAGCGCAACCCUCGUCUUUAAUUGCCAUCAUUCAGGUGGGCACUUUAAGAGACUGCCGGUGUUAAACCGGAGGAAGGUGGGGAUGACGUCAAGUCCUCAUGGCCUUUAUGCCCAGGGCUACACACGUGCUACAAGGGGUGGUACAAAGAGCAGCGACCUCGCGAGUGAAGCAAUCUCAAAAAGCCAUCCUCAGUCCGAUGAGUCUGCAACUCGACUCAUGAGUCGAUCGCUAGUAAUCGCGAAUCAGCAUGCCGGGUGAUACGGUCGGCUGUAACAACGCCCGUCAAACCCGGAAAGUCGAUUGCACCAGAAGUCGUUGGGCCAACCUUUUAACGAGGAGGCAGGCGCCGACGGUGUGGUUGGUAAUCGGGGUGAAGUCGUAACAAGGUAACC
rnacentral:rRNA from 1 species